AUUCCAGGACAGCCAGGGCUAUUACACAGAGAAACCCUGUCUCGAAAAACAAAACAAAGUAAUUUAUUUUAUGUGUAUGGGUGUUUUGCCUGCGUGUACGUCUUCGUAUCAUGUGUCUGGUGGUUGAGGUCAGAAGAGAGGGUUGGAUCCCCUGGAAUUUGAGUUGCAAAUGGUUGUGAACCACCACGUGGGUGCUGGGAACUGAAUCCAGGCCUUCUGGAAGAGCAGCCAGUGCUCCUAACCACCGAGGCAUCUCUUUAGUCCCAACAUCUAAUUUUUACUCUUUCCUCCCCUCUCCCUCAACCCCCCUUUCCUUUCCUCUAGAGUCUCACUAUGUAGCCCGGCUGGCCUUUUAACGCCAACCCUCCUGUCUCUGUCUCCCAAGCGCUGGGAUUCCAGGUAUGCCUGGCGAUGAUUGGUUUCCUUACCUGGCUGCUGUUUCCAUAGGUGUGGUCAGUUUCUGAGAAGUUUUGCCAUGUAUCAUUUAUACUUCCAUAGAAACUCACUAGACCCGCCUCCCUCCAUAUAUACACAGGGACAGAAAGCCUCCUCCCCGGGUGCUCAAGCCCAGAGGAGAAUCCUGCAAAGCUGGAAACAGACUAAGCCUUACCGUACGCUCACAGACCUUCAGGCCUCCUUUCCAUCCAUACCUUCGCUGUCCGCCAUCUAGGCCACUCCUGCUUCUGAUGGCUGGUCUGUGUCCUGGAGUCCUUUCUCUGCGUCUUCAGCAUGGGUCUCUUUACAUGGUUCUGUCUGAGGACACCACCUCCGUGAGAUUUCUCAAGCCUCUCUGGUGGCACAGCACCUCCACGUGUUACUCCUCUCCGUCUCCCAGCUCUGGUCUGUGCUUGCCUGUAAUUCCCUUUAAAGGGAAACCUGAGGGGUGGUAAAAAUGGUGUCUCUUUCACCUUUGUAAUAACCCCUGGGGCCAAAUCUGUGCCUGGUACGGUGCCUCAGCUAAUGAGUGUUUGACAAAUGAUCGCAUGUGCGUUCACAGUUAAGCUGUCAUCCGUCCUGCCAGAAAACCAAGGCACCCAGCAUGUCAAAAAGAAAAAAAGAAAAGAAAAGAAAAGAAAAGCCCUCUUGUGCAGGAACAAGCCCCUUAAAAAGUCAACACAACAUCCUGCUGGUCCUUCAUGGGCUGCUGACAACCCAGUAGAUGGAACUGUGUUCUGCAGCAUUGUGGGCGUGUCCAAUUAGACUCGGUGAGACCGAGCUGCCCUCCAACAUGAAUAAGCCUUGCAAAUAUGUGGUUAAUGACCAUGUCGCUCCGUGUCAGUUCUUAAUCCCAGAUAAUUAGCAGAUAGAUAAUUGGUGGAAGAACGGGAGGUGCUGACAGACGGCCCAUCACUUGGGUGAAGUUAAUGAUCCUCUGUGGAUUAAGCCCCACCCUCUGGGAGUGUUGAUGGCUGCUAUUUGAAAUGCUCCUUUUGAAAGGGCCUGGAUCCAAGAAGAGGUGUCAAGAACUCCAGCUCGGGGCGUGGCAUCAGAACUAAUUCCCUGAGCUGCUUCCGGGAAGGCCUAUGAAUAUUUUUGAGGAGCUAUUCAUCCACAUAAAAGAAGGGAUAGACACUACACUCAUCACCGUCAUCGUGUAAACUGAAGUUCCCAGAGAAAAAGCCUCACACAGUGAAGACUGCUCUGCUGACUGAUUGGAACUCCAUGACUGUAGAGAGUUGGAACGUUACAGAUCCAGACAUCUUUGGCCAUCUUUAGUCCCAUCAGUGGCCAUUUAACACCCACCUUCUGUGUCUGACCUGGUGUCCUUUCCACUCUCAGGCCCAGAACCAGGGCUAUGAGUUAGCCCACCCCAACAUUCACCCCAUCUAUGAUCUGAAGGAGCACGUGAAGGGGCCUGUUCUGCAGAUCCAAAGCUGCAGGGUCUCCAGGACACAGAGCAACAACAGGAUAACCAUGAGGAGCCCCAGUGAGGGCCCAGUAGCAACAGCAUGGCAGAAACCAGAGGCCUCAAAUCAGACCAAUGACUCUUUGCAAAGAACUCUUGCAAGAAAAGAAAUGUGGACAAAAGGGUCUACUGUGUGACUCACUGUGGCAUACUACAGCUUCCAUGAUGAGAUUUUUCUUUCUUUCUUUUUCUUUUUUCUCUCAAACUUUAUUUUAUUUGACUUUGGUGGGGGAGGCUGCAAGGGCAGAGGGCAUCUGGAUGCAAAUGCACGGGAGAUGAGUGGGAUUGAGAUGCCUGAUGUGAAAGAUACAAGGAAUAAAUAAAAAAGAAAGUUUAUAAUAAAAAUAUUUAUUUUUUAUUUAUGUGGAUGCAUAUGUAUGAGUGCAUGCCGUGGCUGCGCAGGGGCCCUCAGAGGCCAGCAAAUGACAGCAGAUCCACUGGAGCUGGAGUUACAGAUGCUUGUGAGUCAUCCAGCUUGGGUUCUGGGAACCAAACUGGACUCUAGUGCAAGAGUGGUAACUGCUUUUAGCCGCUGAGCCAUUGCUAUAGCUUUCCCGCUAUCUUGUUCUUUCUUCUUUUUUGGUGUUAUUUUGCUGAUAUGAAUAAAGUGACUGCAAACA